rnacentral:hammerhead_ribozyme from 1 species
GACGAGUCCCAAAUAGGACGAAAUGCGCAUCCUCGAU